GUUACACCUGAGGAACCUAUAGAAGUUCAAAAUGAAACUGGUCGGACGCGGAGAGGUCGCGGACGUACGGUACUGAGCGAUUUAUACGACCUAGAUCCAGUCGAGCGUGUCCAAGUAUCUAGUAAUAGCUUCGGUCAGCCUGUUGGAUCAGAAGCUCGCCUUUUAGCAAGAUACAUGGGCAUUCUAGCACGGAAUGCAAAUAUGUUACCCAUUAACUUCGAGUCAUGGCAUAAAGUGCCCGAGAGUAACAAGAACCAAGCUCUGGAUAACAUUAAGGCGAGAUUUGCUCUAGAGGUCUCCGAUGCUUAUGUAAAGAAGGCAUUGGGAAAAAGAUGGAGAGACCAUAAGAGCACUUUAAAGAA